rnacentral:rRNA from 1 species
GAUUAACGCUGGCGGCAUGCCUAAUACAUGCAAGUCGAACGGAAGCAGCAAUGCUUUAGUGGCGAACGGGUGAGUAACACGUAGGGAACCUACCUAUACGACGAGGAUAACUACUGGAAACGGUAGCUAAAACUGGAUAGGAUCAAUUGAGGCAUCUUGAUUGAUUUAAAGAUCCUUCGGGAUUACGUAGAGAUGGCCCUGCGGCGCAUUAGCUAGUUGGUGAGGUAACGGCCCACCAAGGCGACGAUGCGUAGCUGAGCUGAGAGGCUAAACAGCCACACUGGGACUGAGACACGGCCCAGACUCCUACGGGAGGCAGCAGUAGGGAAUUUUCGGCAAUGGGGGAAACCCUGACCGAGCAAUGCCGCGUGAACGAUGAAGGUCUUCGGAUUGUAAAGUUCUGUGAUUGGGGAAGAAUGGUAUUCUUAGGGAAUGAGGAGUACAUGACGGUACCCGAUUAGAAAGCCCCGGCUAACUAUGUGCCAGCAG